UACGUAGGGUGCAAGCGUUGUCCGGAAUUAUUGGGCGUAAAGGGCUCGUAGGCGGUCUGUCACGUCGGGAGUGAAAACUCAGGGCUUAACCCUGAGCCUGCUUCCGAUACGGGCAGACUAGAGGUAUGCAGGGGGAGAACGGAAUUCCUGGUGUAGCGGUGAAAUGCGCAGAUAUCAGGAGGAACACCGGUGGCGAAGGCGGUUCUCUGGGCAUUACCUGACGCUGAGGAGCGAAAGUGUGGGGAGCGAACAGG
rnacentral:rRNA from 1 species